GCCGGACUGCUGUGUUGGUGACUGCCUUCUACAGUUUUCUGAUCUGACUCCCUUUUCGACUUGGGGCGUCUGUCGCGACAGUGCCGUAGACCGGCCUCGUAGCCGGAAACGAAUCUUCGCUUUGACUCCCCUUCUGGUUUAUCCAGGUCGGAAUCUGGGGCAGAACGGCACAGCGGUUCACCC
rnacentral:other from 1 species